UACGGAGGGUGCAAGCGUUAUCCGGAUUUACUGGGUUUAAAGGGUGCGUAGGUGGGCAGGUAAGUCAGUGGUGAAAUCUCCGGGCUUAACCCGGAAACUGCCAUUGAUACUAUCUGUCUUGAAUUUCCUGGAGGUAAGCGGAAUAUGUCAUGUAGCGGUGAAAUGCUUAGAGAUGACAUAGAACACCUAUUGCGAAGGCAGCUUACUACGCAGAUAUUGACGCUCAUGCACGAAAGCGUGGGGAUCAAACAGG
rnacentral:rRNA from 1 species